ensembl:lncRNA
AUGAGCAGGGUUUUCAAUAGUGAAAACUAUUGUUGAAGUAUUUUUGGACAUAAACAUUAAUUCACAAAUAUUUCUUUUGGACUUUACAAACACCUUUGACCCGUUUCUUCUGACAUUUUGUGAUUGGAUAGGAUAAACAUAGAAACAAUUGCUCAUCUAAUCAUUGAAUGAAGCUUUAAACCUUUCAGCACUAAACAAAAGGAAUGUGUGAAGGAGGAGCUGCACGUCUUUUUCUGCAUCUCCUGUUCAACAGAAAGAAUCUUAAACAUCAGCAUGCUGCCAACUAACCUGUUCAUUGUGUCGCUGGUCCUCUUUCUGGCAACAACUGUUUCCAUGGCUCCCGUGGAGGAGAAGGAGCAGGAGGAGGUGGAGGUGGAGGCCACAGAAGAGGGGGAGCUGUCAGAGGAGGAGGAGGAUGAUGAUGACUCCAAGAGUCAGGAUAAGAUUGAGGGAGUUGCUGGCGAGCGGCAGACCACCACAGCGGCGGCAUCUGGCGGUUCAGGUGUUGCAGCAGCUAUGUCGUCUAACAUUCAGGAUAUGAGCGCUUCCAGCAGUCAGUCAGCGGGAGGUGGGGGGAAUUAUGGAACAGCGGGAAGUUCUGCAGGUCAUGGAAGUGAAUCUUCGAUGGACUCAGAAGCUGGAGUUGAGAGCAGCUCAACAACACAAACAGGUUCUGACGGAGUGGACUCAGAGUCCAACGGUAACGGACAGAAACUGAUGAAUGGAGGGGAUGUAGGGGGCGGAGCUGACAGUCAGACAGGUCCGCUGGAUUCCACAGUGAUCAGUUCGGGUGUGACAGCAGCUCAGUCUGUGGAUAAGAGCAGCGGUUUCAGUCUGGACUCUCUUUCAGAUCCUGCUUAUCACUCUGACAUCAGCAUCAACCAAUCAGGACCAGACCACAGCUCUUUGAGCUCAGCGCCCGACCAAUCACAUUCCAGCUCUUUCUCUGUCUCAGGCUUCUCCCACUUUGCAGUCCAGGGGGAUGUAGCAGAUUCAUCAUCUUCAUCCCACAGUGAAGCUCAAAGAGUACAGACAGACGGAGCCGACCUACCCAACACUAACGGAAUCGGUCGACAGACUUUGCUGACGAACACAAACGGAGAGGUUCUGGUAAUGUCAGCAAGUGGAGCGGAGUCCGGUCUUCACACCGAGCUCACAGCGUCAGGUCUUGGACUUCAGCCAAAUGUCACAGUGUCGCCCCUCGCUGUCCUCCACACAGACACACUGCCCUCAGUUUCGCAUGGGUACUCCCACACAGAGCUGGUUAGCAUGGCAACAGACUCCACAGGGACAUACACAGUUUCAGCAGAUCCAACAGGAACUCCAUUUGACUUCAGUCAUCCAGCUGUGACGGAUCACACACAGAUGGCUGGUCAAGUCACUGAACAGUACUACCCAUCUGGUCAGGGUCCUGAAGGUACAAAAAAUGUGGAAUUGGAGGAUACCUGCUGACUUCCACAUAAAGCCGCAAGUUCGAUUCCUGCGCUACAGCUUCCAGUGUACCGACAAAUCAGCAAUGCCGAGGAAAUCAACCCCCUUCCACUAGCCGUAGGCCACGCCCACUGAGUGCCAGCAACUCAUUGGUGUUUUUUUUUUAAUAUUUAAAAUGUGGAAUUCUGUUUAUAGAAUUGUA